rfam:Yersinia ruckeri strain 37551 YRO1b0000008, whole genome shotgun sequence.
CACCGACAUCAGGGAUUCGUUUUUCGAACCUUGUCCCACUGCCAGAUAGGAAUGCAUACCCAGCUCUUUCAUCUGCUGUUCACCGAUCACGCGGGUGAUGAUGUUUUUGCUGAAUGCAUCGGCCAAUUGGCGAGCCUGAGAGGCCAGAUAAGCGGCAUUACAGAUAUUAGGCGGCAUAUUGCCCAGAUCUUUGGC